AACGAACGCUGGCGGCAUGCCUAACACAUGCAAGUCGAACGAGACCUUCGGGUCUAGUGGCGCACGGGUGCGUAACGCGUGGGAACCUGCCCUUAGGUUCGGAAUAACUCCCCGAAAGGGGUGCUAAUACCGGAUAAUGUCUUCGGACCAAAGAUUUAUCGCCUUUGGAUGGGCCCGCGUUGGAUUAGCUAGUUGGUAGGGUAAAAGCCUACCAAGGCGACGAUCCAUAGCUGGUCUGAGAGGAUGAUCAGCCACACUGGGACUGAGACACGGCCCAGACUCCUACGGGAGGCAGCAGUGGGGAAUAUUGGACAAUGGGCGAAAGCCUGAUACAGCAAUGCCGCGUGAGUGAUGAAGGCCGUAGGGUUGUAAAGCUCUUUUACCCGGGAUGAUAAUGACAGUACCGGGAGAAUAAGCGCCGGCUAACUCCGUG
rnacentral:rRNA from 1 species